rnacentral:misc_RNA from 1 species
AACAUCGCGCACCUGCGGGAACCUGCGGAAGGAUCAUUAAUGAUUGGUGGCUGUUGCUGACUAGUGUUUCUAGUAUGUGCACGCCACACCUUCAAUCCCACUUACACCCGUGCACCUUCUGUAAUAGAUCUAUGUGGAUACGGAGAUAUGAAAGUUUGCGCUCUCGUACUCUGUUGAAGCAGUCUACUACGUUUUUUUACACACACACAAUAGUCAUUGAAUGUAUUUUUUAUUCUUAUG